UAUUGAACUAGACAUCCCAAUGCUUGUUUGAAAACUGAUUCCUUGUCAUUUGGAUUUGCAAUGAAUGUUUGGUGAAUUUUCUAAGUUGACCAUGCUGCUGAGAAAGUACGUGUGGAGGUAUUCAUAGACUGUUAACACAAUAAUUUGACUUGGAUUUAACAAUCUUAUUUCAAAUGUCAUUUACAAUUUUAGGAAAAUCUACUCAAGUUUUGCAUAUUAUCACAUUUCUUAAAAUGAUAAACAGAUAAGAUGGAAGGCUAGUUGUUUUAGGAUUUCCAAAACUAGUAUAACUAGAACUAAAGUGUGCGACAUUUUUGAAUGAGUGACCUAGACACAGAUUGUGAGAGUAGGAGGGAUCCAUGUAGGCUAUGGAUGGAAAAAGGAAUGGUAGAACAUAAAUGCAUAGCAAUUAACACAUUCCUGGGGAUCCUUGUACAUAUUAAUUUUGACUGAAUUCUAUUAAUCGUAUAUGUAAUAUGACUCUUAACAAUCUGCCUUGGUAAAUGUAGACGGUCAGCUAGAUGGUAUUGUGCAGGGCAUUGAAAAUAUGGUUCGCUCCUACAUUGAGAAGGUAAAGUCCAUUGAAAUUUUGAUCUGCUUUCUUCUUCUUCUUUGUUCUUCUUUUUUUAAAUUUUUUAUAAUUCUCUUUUUUCCCCUAAAGUUGUUACUAUGUUUAAUCAUCUUAUCUGUUCAACAUUUUAUGUAGCCCAAUAGUAUAAUUUUAGCAAUUUCACCUGCUAAUCAAGAUCUUGUUACAUCAGAUGCAAUUAAAAUCUCUCGUGAAGUGGAUCCAACAAGUGAGUCUAAAAAUUCACAUCCAAUUUUCUUAAUUAUAUGUUGCUUUCCAAAAAAGAUUCAUCUAGUAUACUUCUGAAAUCAAAGUAAUAUCAAGUUAAUCUACUAAAAUGUGAAUCUUAUAGCUGAUAUAAACCUGUAUGUUGCAUGAGAACAUAGUUCUAGAUGUUUAGUGUUUAGUCUAAUGUUAUUCUUUCACACGGAAGAGGACAAUUGAAGUAGCCGGUUGAAAUUGUCAAUGUUCCUGCUGCUAAUAUAGCCUCAAUUUGGUUUUAAUGUUGCAAAGAACGUCAAGGGCAGACAAUCUUGAGGAUCAAUGAUAUCUUUUGCUAUACUAGAUGAAUCACUAGUACAUUCAAACAAUUGAUACCUUGGACAAAAGAAGAGUUGACAGGUUAGAUGAAAGCUCAAUGCUAGCUAUCAGUUGAGUGACGAUCCCAGAUUUCUCUGUUGUAGUUAGGUGGGAUCUGAUAUCAUCACUUGUGCUCAUGUAAUAUUUUGUUUAUAUUGUUCUUACAGAACUAUAAAUGCUUCCAUAAUGCCUUUUAGUUGUGUAUAAUAAGCUAUUAUGUUUGGUAUGCAGGGAGGAGCUCAUAUUGAGUGCGGUUCUAAGUGUAUGAAGGAAGUUGGUGGAAUCAACACUUGUUAAUAUAUUUGUACUCUAUAGUUAGUGAUAUAGGAAAACAAUUUCAGUAGCUUUCAAGAUAUUAUGCUGAUUACAACAAUGGCUGUACUUGAAAUUAGCUAAUGUAAAAGCUAGUUGCUAGCUAGUUUAGUAUCUUGAAACUGAUGGGAUUGUAGUUUGGUGGGUUACUUGAUGC